GUCCGAAAAUUCAAAUAUUUUUUUGUGAUUUUUCUGAGAUUGUUGCGUUUUGAAUUAAUAUUGACUAAAGCCUAAUAAUUUUAAUAAAUUUACUUAAUUGUUAAAGUAACAAUAUGCAACCCUUACUUAAUACUAAGGGUGAUAUACAAAUUGACUUAAAUCAAGUGAGAAUUGAUAUACUAAAUGGUAUUCGUGAAUGUAACGAUCGUGGCUUGAUACAAACUGCAAAGUGGCUGGCGGAGUUAAAUUUUGCUCUUAAAGACCAUAAAAUUGAUCAAUCAGAGCCGCCUGAACCACCUGAACACGAUAUAAUACCGGAAGAAAGAGAAGCGUACAACCUUGCAAAGAGUUAUUUCGAUUGUCAAGAGUAUGAUAGAGCUGCUCAUUUCAUAGAAAAUUGCACAAGUCCAAAGUGUGUGUUCCUACACAAGUAUUCACAAUACAUGUCGAGCGAAAAGAAGAGAUUGGACAAUGCCACUGAUACUGGAAUGGAAAAUAUGGAAUCUACACAAGUUUUAUUAGAUUUAUUAUCUUUUUUCAAGGCUAACUCUAACACUCUAGAUGGUUACCUUUUAUAUUUAGAAGGUGUGGUGUUGAAGAAAUUAGAUUUACGCAGCCAAGCAGUUUCAGUUCUCCAAGCAGCAGUGGCAGCGGUGCCCACGCUCUGGGCUGCGUGGGUGGAACUUGCUGGCCUCGCUAACGAAUAUGAGGCCUUAGAUUCACUGCAAUUGCCAAAGCACUGGAUGAUGUACUUCUUUGCAGCUCAUGCAUUUGUGGAACUGAAACUUUCUGAGCAAGCUCUUGAAGCGUACAUGGUUCUGACUGCUGCGGGCUUUGAGAAAAGCACUUAUAUAACAGCUCAGAUGGCUAUUGCACACCAUGACAGGAGAGAUGUUGAUUCAUCUCUAGCAUUGUUCAGAGAUCUGUACCAAAAUGAUCCGUACCGCUUGGACAAUUGGGAUGUGUACUCACAUUUGUUGUACCUGAAAGACAAAAGGAUGGAGCUGGCCAAUUUAGCACAAAAAGCUGUUUCUAUUGACAAAUACAGAGUUGAAACAUGUUGUGUUAUAGGUAACUAUUACAGUUUGAGAAGUGAGCAUCAGAAAGCAGUUUUAUAUUUCCAAAGAGCUCUAUCAAUGGACCCACAGUACUUAUCAGCGUGGAUACUCAUGGGACAUGAGUUCAUAGAACUACAGAACUCUAAUGCUGCAAUACAGUGUUACAGACAAGCUAUAGAUGUCAACAGAAAUGAUUACAGAGCUUGGAAUGGUCUUGGCCAGGCAUAUGAAAUCCUAGGCCUCAAUGGUUACUGCAUUUACUACUACUCAAGAGCAGCUCAACUUAAACCGGAUGAUUCUAGAAUGCUCGUUUCCUUAGGAGAGGCAUACGAGAAGAUGGAGAAAAUCCCCAAUGCACUUAAAUGCUAUUACAAGGCCCACAGUACAGGAGAUAUCGAAGGCAUGGCAUUGUUUAAAUUAGCUAAGUUAUACGAGAAAUUGAACAUGCCGAACAGUGCAGCGGCGGCGUACACGGCCGCCUGCCAGGAGCCAGCCAACGCGGGCAGCAAGGAGCUGCCGGCCGCGCAGCGCUACCUCGCGCAGUACUACCUGCGCUUCUCGCUCGUCGACCACGCGGCGCACUACGCCUACAAGUGCCUGGAGCACGAGAGUGUAAGUGUCAGGAGCCAGCCAACGCGGGCAGCAAGGAGCUGCCGGCCGCGCAGCGCUACCUCGCGCAGUACUACCUGCGCUUCUCGCUCGUCGACCACGCGGCGCACUACGCCUACAAGUGCCUGGAGCACGAGAGUGUAAGUGUCAGGAGCCAGCCAACGCGGGCAGCAAGGAGCUGCCGGCCGCGCAGCGCUACCUCGCGCAGUACUACCUGCGCUUCUCGCUCGUCGACCACGCGGCGCACUACGCCUACAAGUGCCUGGAGCACGAGAGUGUAAGUGUCAGGAGCCAGCCAACGCGGGCAGCAAGGAGCUGCCGGCCGCGCAGCGCUACCUCGCGCAGUACUACCUGCGCUUCUCGCUCGUCGACCACGCGGCGCACUACGCCUACAAGUGCCUGGAGCACGAGAGUGUAAGUGUCAGGAGCCAGCCAACGCGGGCAGCAAGGAGCUGCCGGCCGCGCAGCGCUACCUCGCGCAGUACUACCUGCGCUUCUCGCUCGUCGACCACGCGGCGCACUACGCCUACAAGUGCCUGGAGCACGAGAGUGUAAGUGUCAGGAGCCAGCCAACGCGGGCAGCAAGGAGCUGCCGGCCGCGCAGCGCUACCUCGCGCAGUACUACCUGCGCUUCUCGCUCGUCGACCACGCGGCGCACUACGCCUACAAGUGCCUGGAGCACGAGAGUACAAAAGAAGCUGGAAAGAAUAUACUCAAAACAAUAUCCGAGAAAAGACUUGCAGCAUCUAACUCAUCUCAAUCAAAUUUCAAGACUGAAGAUCUGCCAGAAGCCAUUAAAAACGCAUCUACAUCUUCUCUCACUCAAGAUACGCCCAAGACUCCAUUCCCCUUACCCAGUCCCAAUGUGACACCCGAUAGCUUCUCCACACCAAAGUUUACGCGGCACAAUAGUAAAUACAAAAUUUAACCAACCAUACAAUUUAAUGAUUAUCCUGCAUACCAAUAUGUCGAUUGUAAUUUAAGAAAAUUAAACAUAAGGAACUAUGA